AGCGAACGCUGGCGGCAGGCUUAACACAUGCAAGUCGAACGGGCGUAGCAAUACGUCAGUGGCAGACGGGUGAGUAACGCGUGGGAACGUACCUUUUGGUUCGGAACAACCCAGGGAAACUUGGGCUAAUACCGGAUAAGCCCUUACGGGGAAAGAUUUAUCGCCGAAAGAUCGGCCCGCGUCUGAUUAGCUAGUUGGUGUGGUAACGGCGCACCAAGGCGACGAUCAGUAGCUGGUCUGAGAGGAUGAUCAGCCACAUUGGGACUGAGACACGGCCCAAACUCCUACGGGAGGCAGCAGUGGGGAAUAUUGGACAAUGGGCGCAAGCCUGAUCCAGCCAUGCCGCGUGAGUGAUGAAGGCCCUAGGGUUGUAAAGCUCUUUUACCCGGGAAGAUAAUGACUGUACCGGGAGAAUAAGCCCCGGCUAACUUCGUGCCAGCCGCCGCCGU
rnacentral:rRNA from 1 species